GUGCAGGCCCUGUGCAACAGAACACCGUGAACCAUGUCAGGCGGGGAACCGAGCAGCAUUAAGCGGAUUGUUUUGUGUGCCGCAGCAAGCCUGUACACU
rnacentral:SRP_RNA from 1 species